CUUCUUCUUUCCUCCCUUGAGCCUCUUCGCCAUCCUGGCCGCGGUGCUCUUUGGGGCUGGAGGCCACAACGCAUCACAGAUGGAAAAGAUGCUUCACUUGAAUGAAUUAACAAGAACUGCAAAUUCUUAAAACACAAAGUGUGAACAAGAAACUGGUCCAUUUACACAUUUG